rnacentral:lncRNA from 1 species
AGCCUUCGGUUUAGGGAUUGGUAACAUAUGUUAUAGUGUUGUUGGUAUUUUUAGGGUUAGAUUUUGAAAUAUUAUCUUUUUAUUUUUAUUUUUAGUUUGACAUAUAUGUGUUUAGUGACUAUCUAAUUUCUUGAUUUAAACACUUUCUAAGUUUCUUUUAAGUUUAAGGAAGUGUUUUUGCAUAGUUAUUUGAUUAUAGGGUCUGGAAGACUCCGAGAAGACUUUGGUUUAGGGUUUACUAACAUAUGUUAUAGUAUUGUUUGUAUUUAGGGUUUGAGUUUAGAAUCUUAACUUUUUUUAAAAAAGAAUGACCUACAUGUGUUUUAGUUUUGUGUAUAUUAAACACUUUAUAAGUUGAUUUUAAGUUUAAUGAAUUGUUUUUUGCUAUUUAGUUAGUUAUUUGAUUAGGCUAUGGUUUGAAAAACUUCUAGAAUACUUCCAAAAGAAUUCCCUAGAAGUCUUCUGACAUAUUUCCGCCUAAAUUUUAGUAGAAUUUAGGAUUCCCGUCUAAAGCAAAGUCUUAUAGAAAUCUUCCAGAAGUCUUCUCAUGUAUUUGAUUUUAGGGUCUAGAAAACUUCCCAAGAAGUUAGAAGACUUCCAAGAAGUCUUCUGUAUCGAAAAUAUUUAACCUAAUUAGAAUUUUUGUCUCCAUAUAUAAAGAAAAUUUAAACAUUCUUUUUCUUCCUCUCAAAUGGUUGCAACAAAAAUGUAAUUUUUCUCACUCUAAAACUCUCCAACCUCUCUCUAAUCUCUUUGAACAUCAAAACACCAAAUUUUAAAUCUAUUUCUCAUUUUUUUUCUUAUGUCUUCUCACUAAUUUAUCUUCUUUUUGUAGAUUUUUCAUUACAUGGU